rnacentral:rRNA from 1 species
AGAAUCAACGCUGGCGGCGUGCCUAACACAUGCAAGUCGAACGAGAAAGUGGAGCAAUCCAUGAGUAAAGUGGCGCACGGGUGAGUAACACGUGACUAACCUACCCUUGAGUGGGGGAUAACCUAGGGAAACCUGGGCUAAUACCGCAUAAUACCUUCGGGUCAAAGGAGCAAUUCGCUUAAGGAGGGGGUCGCGGCCGAUUAGUUAGUUGGCGGGGUAAUGGCCACCAAGACUGUGAUCGGUAUCCGG